rnacentral:rRNA from 1 species
AUGGCGCGGAAGAUGCUCAAGGACGGGGAGGCGCCCGUCGUCGCCGACGACGGCGGGAGCUACGACUACGACCUCUUCGUCAUCGGCGCCGGCAGCGGCGGCGUCCGCGGCUCCCGCACAGCCGCCGGCUUCGGGGCCAAGGUUGCGAUCUGCGAGCUCCCGUUCCACCCCAUCAGCUCCGAGUGGCUGGGAGGCCACGGCGGAACGUGCGUGAUACGUGGCUGCGUCCCGAAGAAGAUACUCGUCUACGGGGCAUCUUUCCGGGGGGAAUUCGAUGACGCCAAGCAAUUCGGGUGGGAGAUCAACGGGGACAUCAACUACAACUGGAAAAAGUUGCUGGAAAACAAGACUCAAGAGAUUGUGAGAUUAAAUGGAGUGUACAAGAGAAUCCUUGGUGGUUCUGGUGUGACCAUGAUUGAAGGGGCAGGAAGUAUAGUUGAUGCUCAUACUGUCGAAGUCACCCAACCAGACGGUUCAAAGCAAAGGCACACGACCAAGCACAUAUUGAUUGCAACUGGUAGCCGGGCAACUCUGGUCAACAUUCCUGGAAAGGAGCUGGCUAUUACUUCAGAUGAGGCUUUAAGUUUGGAGGAGCUACCGAAACGCGCCUUGAUUCUUGGUGGCGGAUAUAUUGCUGUUGAAUUUGCUUCAAUCUGGAAAGGGUUGGGUGCUGAAGUAGAUCUAUUUUAUAGGAAAGAGCUUCCUCUAAGAGGUUUUGAUGAUGAGAUGAGAACAGUUGUUGCAAGUAACCUUGAGGGAAGGGGAAUCAGAUUGCAUCCGGGGACCAAUUUGACUGAGUUGAGUAAAACGGCCGAUGGCAUUAAAGUUGUGACAGAUAAAGGGGAUGAGCUCAUUGCAGAUGUUGUUCUUUUUGCUACAGGUCGUGCGCCGAACUCCAAUAGGCUGAACUUGGAAGCUGUUGGUGUUGAGGUUGAUCAAAUAGGAGCCAUCAAGGUUGAUGAAUACUCCCGUACAUCAGUUCCAAGUAUAUGGGCCGUGGGUGAUGUAACAAAUCGGAUUAACCUAACACCUGUUGCUCUGAUGGAGGCUACUUGCUUCGCUAAAACUGUGUUUGGUGGCCAGACAGUUAAGCCUGAUUAUAAAGAUGUACCUUGUGCUGUUUUCUGCAUCCCACCACUAUCUGUCGUCGGUCUGAGCGAACAAGAGGCUUUGGCGGAAACCAAGAAUGAUCUUCUUAUUUACACAUCAAGUUUCAACCCAAUGAAGAACAGCAUAUCCAAACGCGUGGAGAAGUCUACCAUGAAACUGGUGGUUGAUGCUGAGACCGAUAAGGUACUUGGUGCAGCCAUGUGUGGACCAGAUGCAGCUGAAAUUAUGCAGGGCAUUGCUGUUGCGCUCAAGGCUGGAGCUACCAAGGCGACCUUCGACAGCACCGUCGGGAUCCACCCUUCUGCCGCGGAGGAGUUUGUGACGAUGCGGACCUUGACCAGGCGCGUGAGCCCGCCAUCCAAGCCGAAGACGAACUUGUAA